rnacentral:snRNA from 1 species
AGACAUGAGGGCUAUCUGGCUGCAAUAUCUGUCACCCCACUGAUCGCCAGGGUUGACUUGGCUGAUGUGGCUGCGAGGCAGGGGAGGGGUGCCUCCUCCCGCAUCGCUCUAGGUGCCUCCCCAAGCUGUGCUUGGUCAAAAAGGAUGGCCAUCCCGGAUCCAGGAGGACAGAGGACCAUUCUUCGAUCAAGGGUAUAGGAGUAGCAGCGCUCCCCUGCUAGAACCUCCAAACAAGCUCUCAAAAGACUUGUAAACCCAAGAGUCUAGCUAAUUUUGCAUGACCAGCAUGACAGAAAUACGAAAAUGUAACAAGGCAAAUUAAAAGCAAACAACU